UACGUAGGUGGCGAGCGUUGUCCGGAAUUAUUGGGCGUAAAGAGCAUGUAGGCGGUUUCUUAAGUCUGGAGUGAAAAUGCGGGGCUCAACCCCGUAUGGCUCUGGAUACUGGGAGACUUGAGUGCAGGAGAGGAAAGGGGAAUUCCCAGUGUAGCGGUGAAAUGCGUAGAUAUUGGGAGGAACACCAGUGGCGAAGGCGCCUUUCUGGACUGUGUCUGACGCUGAGAUGCGAAAGCCAGGGUAGCGAACGGG
rnacentral:rRNA from 2 species